rnacentral:rRNA from 1 species
CAGUAGCCACGGUAAUACGUAGGGCGCAAGCGUUAUCCGGAAUUAUUGGGCGUAAAGAGCUCGUAGGCGGUUUGUCGCGUCUGCCGUGAAAGUCCGGGGCUCAACCCCGGAUCUGCGGUGGGUACGGGCAGACUAGAGUGAUGUAGGGGAGACUGGAAUUCCUGGUGUAGCGGUGAAAUGCGCAGAUAUCAGGAGGAACACCGAUGGCGAAGGCAGGUCUCUGGGCAUUAACUGACGCUGAGGAGCGAAAGCAUGGGGAGCGAACAGGAUUAGAUACCCCGGUAGUCCCUGUCUCUUAUAA